rnacentral:rRNA from 1 species
UACGUAGGAGGCGAGCGUUGUCCGGAUUUACUGGGCGUAAAGCGCGCGCGGGCGGCAGUGCAAGUAAGGUGUGAAAUCUCCCUGCUCAACGGGGAGGGUGCACUUUAGACUGCACAGCUCGAGGUCGGUAGAGGGGGGUGGAAUUGCUGGUGUAGCGGUGAAAUGCGUAGAGAUCAGCAGGAACACCCGUGGCGAAGGCGGCCCCCUGGGCCGUACCUGACGCUGAGGCGCGAAGGCUAGGGGAGCGAACGGG